GCUGGCAGUGCGUCUUAAGCAUGCAAGUCAAACGGGAUGUAGCAAUACAUCUAGUGGCGAACGGGUGAGUAACGCGUGGAUGAUCUACCUACGAGAUGGGGAUAACUAUUAGAAAUAGUAGCUAAUACCGAAUAAAGUCAAUUAAUUUGUUAAUUGAUGAAAGGAAGCCUUUAAAGCUUCGCUUGUAGAUGAGUCUGCGUCUUAUUAGCUAGUUGGUAGGGUAAAUGCCUACCAAGGCGAUGAUAAGUAACCGGCCUGAGAGGGUGAACGGUCACACUGGAACUGAGAUACGGUCCAGACUCCUACGGGAGGCAGCAGCUAAGAAUCUUCCGCAAUGGGCGAAAGCCUGACGGAGCGACACUGCGUGAAUGAAGAAGGUCGAAAGAUUGUAAAAUUCUUUUAUAAAUGAGGAAUAAGCUUUGUAGGAAAUGACAAAGUGAUGACGUUAAUUUAUGAAUAAGCCCCGGCUAAUUACGUGCCAGCAGCCGCGGUAAUACGUAAGGGGCGAGCGUUGUUCGGGAUUAUUGGGCGUAAAGGGUGAGUAGGCGGAUAUAUAAGUCUAUGCAUAAAAUACCACAGCUCAACUGUGGAACUAUGUUGGAAACUAUAUGUCUAGAGUCUGAUAGAGGAAGUUAGAAUUUCUGGUGUAAGGGUGGAAUCUGUUGAUAUCAGAAAGAAUACCGGAGGCGAAGGCGAACUUCUGGGUCAAGACUGACGCUGAGUCACGAAAGCGUAGGGAGCAAACAGGAUUAGAUACCCUGGUAGUCUACG
rnacentral:rRNA from 1 species